UACAGAGGUCUCAAGCGUUGUUCGGAUUCAUUGGGCGUAAAGGGUGCGUAGGUGGCGCCGUAAGUCAGGUGUGAAAUUUCGGAGCUUAACUCCGAAACUGCAUUUGAUACUGCGGUGCUUGAGGACUGGAGAGGAGACUGGAAUUUACGGUGUAGCAGUGAAAUGCGUAGAGAUCGUAAGGAAGACCAGUGGCGAAGGCGGGUCUCUGGACAGUUCCUGACACUGAGGCACGAAGGCGAGGGGAGCAAACGGG
rnacentral:rRNA from 1 species